rnacentral:lncRNA from 1 species
GAGGAAGUGAGCUGCCAUGUACUAGGCCACGUGGCAAGGGCCUGGUUGGGGACCUCCAGGGGUUGAGAGCAUCCUCUGGACAACAUGGAAAAAGAAAAUGAAAAUGGUGACCUCAGCCCUAUAGCUAGAAGGAAUUGAAUCCUGUCAACAACGAUUGGGUUCUCGGUCUCGCUGACUUCAAGAAUGAAGCCGCAGACCCUCACGGUGAGCGUUACAGUUCGUAAAGAUGUUGUGUCAGGAGUUUGUUCCUUCACAUGUUCAGAUGUGUCCGGGGUUUCUUCCUUCCGGUGGUUUCAUGGUCUCCCCGACUUGACUUCAGGAGUGAAGCCGCAGACCUCUGCAGUGAGUGCUACAGCUCAUAAAGGUAGCACAGGCCUGAAGAGUGAGCAGCAGCAAGAUUUACUGUGAAAAGCAAAAGAAUGAACCUUCCAAAGCUGGAAGGAGCCCCAAACAGGUUGCCGCGGCUGGCUCCCCUGGCCAGCUAUUAUUCCCUUAUUUGGCCCCACCCACGUCCUGCUGAUUGGUCCAUUUUACAGACCGCUGAUUGGUCCGUUUUUACAGAGUGCUGACUGGUGUGUUUACAAACCUUUAGCUAGACACAGAGCGCUGACUGGUGAGUUUUUACAGAGUGCUGAUUGGUGCAUUUACAAAGCUUUAGCUAGACACAGAGCACUGAUUGGUGCAUUUACAAUCCUUUAGCCAGACAGAAAAGUUCUCCAAGUCCCCACGUGACCCAGAAGCCCAGCUGGCUUCGCCUCUCAAUAACAUUGUUAAAUUUAUAACCUCAACUAGAAAGGAGGAUGAGCAUAGUCCAGCUGAAGAAAGAGCUAAAAUAUCGAUUUAGAACUAGUCUACAUAUUUUGAGAAAAAAACAUUUCAUUCAAUUUGCUGUUUUAUCUAAUAACUAAGAGUGAUGCUAAUACAUGCAUGAAAAUACUUCAUUCUGAAAUUAUGAGCAUUGUUUGAAUAACUUAUGAAAGGGGUUCCCCAUUCCUCAGAAAGAUUUCCAAAAAGGAAAGAUAUAACAAUACUCAGGCAAGUACUUUUUUCAUUCUGUAAAAAUUUCAUGCAAAGCAACAUUUGUAACAGAAGUGUAAAGUGCUAAUACAACAUACCAAAUACGUUUGUACACACUUUUUGUUUAAUAAAUAUGCCAUUCCUCAAAGC